rnacentral:rRNA from 1 species
CCUACGGGAGGCAGCAGUGGGGAAUUUUGGACAAUGGGCGCAAGCCUGAUCCAGCCAUUCCGCGUGAGUGAUUAAGGCCUUCGGGUUGUAAAGCCCUUUUGUUGGGAAAGAAAUCCAGCUGGCUAAUACCCGGUUGGGAUGACGGUACCCAAAGAAUAAGCACCGGCUAACUUCGUGCCAGCAGCCGCGGUAAU